rnacentral:rRNA from 1 species
AUUGAACGCUGGCGGCAGGCCUAACACAUGCAAGUCGAACGAGUGGCGGACGGGUGAGUAAUUUCUGGGAAACUGCCUGAUGGAGGGGGAUAACUAAUGGAAACUGUAGCUAAUACCGCAUACCAUCGGAUGUGCCCAGAUGGGAUUAGCUGGUUGGUGGGGUAACGGCUCACCUAGGCGACGAUCCCUAUCUGGUCUGAGAGGAUGACCAGCCACACUGGAACUGUGAAACGGUCCAGACUCCUACGGGAGGCAGCAGUGGGGAAUAUUGAACAAUGGGCGCAAGCCUGAUGCAGCCAUGCCGCUUGUAUGAAGAAGGCCUUCGGGUUGUAAAGUACUUUCAGCGGGGAGGCGUUACCCGCAGAAGAAGCACCGGCUAACUCCGUGCCAGCAGCCGCGGUAAUUC